CUUUGUUGGCCCCGUUCUCCCCCUGGAAGACAGACGAGACCUUUUUAAUAUUUCCCUAUUUCCCUUCCCUGAACCAUUUUAAAUAAUUUAAAUGAAGCUUGUUUUUCCUUACUUAUGCUCUGUGUGUUUGGUCAUUGGGGUGGCUUUGGGGCCUCCUCGAGGUGGAAACUAGGAAGGGGCGUGACUUACAACAUCUGGGUCCGCUCCGACCUGUGACAUAUAAAUAGAGCAUGUGAAACACAGGACAUCCCUCAUUGUUGUUCCCUUUUUUUUCUGGUGGAUGUUGGAGCGGAUGUUGUGGCAAAGUGGUGGGUUGAUGUGGCGAAGCCAAGGAUACGGACUCGAAGAGAAUAUCUGUGGAGUAAAAAGAACAGAAGAACCGAGUCAUUGAAACAGGUUUGGAGGAGGACGAAUUAUAUUUAAGAAGUGUAUUCUUACCUAUGUGUGUACAUGUGCAUUCAAGGCUACAGCGAAGUACAAUUCUGAGCGGAGGUUUCCUGGAGUUAAGCGGCUUGGGGAACCGCGAGAAGAGGACAAACGAGCACAGAGGAAGAGAGAUACAUGGUGUCAGACCGUGAGUAACAGUAGAUAUUCACAUUCACUGAGGCAUUGAAGUAACGGACAGUAAACUGUUUUGUGUGGAGUGUGUUGCUGUGUAUUGGCCCCACCGUGUAGUACGAAGCCGGUGGGUGAGCCAGAGGAGUGUAAGACACGCAGACCAUUGUGUGGGGAACCGUGACACCCAGACCACCGCCCGUGGCAGCGAUUGCAACGUCUCCCCCCCAGUGAAGUUCUUGACUCUGAGUGGAGGUAUGGGCCUUAUCUGUCACUAAGAAGUGUGGAUUGCCGUGGGUGAGUGUGAAUUAUUGACGUGUGUGCACCUGAAGUAUUUGCAGUGCUGUGCCGUGUCUUCUGUCGCCCGUACCGCCCCUAGGUCAAGCCAGUCGCUGUGAGGUGUGUCGUGUACUUACCUUUCUACCCCCUGCCUGUGUGUCCAAGCAACGAAGGGGAUUGUGAGUACAGUAUUGACGUGCUGUGGGAGAGAUCACAGUGAAGAUAAAGGAAGUAGAGAAAUUGUGAAAUCACAAACUAACUGUUGUGUGCAAACCCUGUGUUGGAGAGGAGGCCUAGCCGUCUGUCCCACCAAUCUAGGUGUCGAUUUAACCCUGGAGAGGAAAAGGAGCUGACGGGUCUGUUAUGGGCAUCAUCUCGCAGGCCCAUCUACAUCCCCUCCGCCUCUCAAGAUGGUAUCAGCCAGGACCAAGCCAGCAGCAGCCGGUUGGAAGUGGGUAAAGCCUGCAUUCUCUCCCCGUAGACCAAGGUUAGUUGAAGUACAAAUUCUCUCACCUACAUUGUAAUACCUCCUUGGAAUGCUUGAGUAUGAUAGAGAGAGCGUUAAGUUAACCGUCAUACUUACCUGAAGAGUCUGUUGAUACAGAGCAGCACGCCCAGGGAACCGCAGAGCCACCCUAGAACCGAGCUAAAGCUAAACGUACCCAAGUUGUCUGUUGAUUCAGAGCAGCACGCCCAGUGAACUGCAGAGCCACCCUAGAACCAAUGCAAAGCUAUACGUACCCAAGUUGUCUGUUGAUACAGAGCAGCACACCCAGUGAACCGUAGAGCAGUCCCAGGGUGGAGUCCAAGGCAAACUUACCUGAGAGACACUGUAGAUCCAGUCCAGUGCGCCUAGCCAAGUCUAUACUUACCUUGUGUAUCCGCCAGCCUGGUGGAGUACGACCCCGCAGCGUCUCCGAAGUAGCCUGAAAGUAGAAAGUGGAGUUGCUCUUAGUCCAGCAGCCUGUCAUCGUAAAACCUCAGUGCCGGAGAAAGGCACGACAGUCUAACGAGAUUUCCCAAACCUGUCCCUUGUGUGUGUGACUGUAGCAGUCAUCCGGGACGAGCGUGGAACCCAGCAGGCCGUGGACGGAGGAAAGGGUCGGCCACCCUGUGGAAGAAGAGCAGAAGAAGUUAGUAACACGAAGGAAGCUUCCCCUCAUACUUACCUGAAUACACCACGGUCACUCGCCGUAGCGGGACGUGGAACGGCUGAGAAGGCCGCGGAGCCACCCCGCGGCAGAGCAGGUAGUUGCCCUACAUCAGUGAUUCCCCUAAUUUUUGUUUUCAUUCUGCUUUCAGGAGAAGAGGAGGGCGCCACGGGUUCAAGAGACAAAAGUGAAGGAGCCCUGUCCCCCUGUCUCCCCCUUAGCACCCCUGUCGCUGGCACCUGGCCCUCUCCCCUUCUGCAAGACCAGCUGGGAGACAGAAGAAGGAUCAUUUUAGCUUCCCCUUUCCCCCUCCCACUAUAGUUUUAAAUCAUUUAAAUAAAGUUUGUUUUAACUUUUACUCACCUGUUUCGUGUGUUUGGUCAUUGGGGUGCUUUGGGGACCUCCUCAAGGUGGAAUGCCUGGAGGGGCAUCAGUAGCCCGCUCCGGUUGGUAACAUAAUCUCCCACCAGUACCAUAAAACCUGUUUUUGCCCUGCUUGAACUUCGCCAGAACCAUCGUCCUAUUGAGGAUUACGUGAGUGAUUUCUUGGAUUUGAGUAAUCAGGUACAUUUUGAUGAGGACACUUUAAAACCCAUUUUUUAUAAUGCUCUUAAUGAACAUUUACGUCUCUGUAUGCCACGCGAUAUGUCAGUCUGGUCUCUGGAACGUUAUAUUGACUUUGCUUUGUUGUUGUGUGGCUCUCCCUUCACUGUGGGUGUUGUGGAUAGCAAACCAGAGGCUAUUCACAACACGCCACGCCAUGUCAUGCCUGUUUUGUCCAUGCCUGUUCCUAAAAUGGCCGCCACCCAGGGGCGGAGCGGGGGGUGGCUUUUGGGGCUCGAGGCCCGAAUGUUUUGUCAAAAGCCCCGAAUCUUUUCAGAUCUGUAAAAUGAAUUCAUCCAGGACGCUAGGUGGCGGCACUCAGCUUUAACUCUCCGGUCCCCCACUCAACUGAAAAUGAAUAAGAGAUGUGUGUACUUGUGUUGAAGGCAAAAUAACAUUCUGAAUCUCCCCACAGUAAACGCAUUUUCAAAGUGUCUUUAUUAUUACAGUGCCUUCGUUAUUACUAUGGAUAUACGAUUUAUAUUUUUAAAGACGUCAGAAGUAAGAAGUGCAAAUAGGAAGAGAGGAGGGUGGAGAGAGAUCACAGAUAGACAGAAAGAGAGAAAGAGAGAGAGAGAAACGCUUCCAUAAGCAGGUGAGAAAUUGUUCUGUCAAUGAAGUCAAAAAUUGUUAUUCUUAUGUAGCUUUAUAGUUACUGGAUUAGCCUUCAGCAAACAUGUUUGCCUAUUUUUGGAUAAGAGAAGUUAAAGUAUCAUUGUCAAAAUUUGUUAUGUUGCAGUUUCAAAAUGACAAUACCAGUGUUGGGUAAGUUACUCAAAAAAGUAAUUAAUUACUAGUUACUAAUUACAUCUUCAAUCAUGUAAUUAAAUUACUUUACAAAUUACUCCAAAAAGUAUUUAAUUAUUACUAAUUACUUUCUAAAUCCUAUUUAGUACAUGAUACAAGGAUAGGCUUGAAAUGGCUCGAAGAAACAAUAUAUAAAAGUACAUCAAUUAUUCUGGUCCCACUUUAGGGUUCAUUUCUCUCUAUUAAUUAACUAUUAACUACUUUUGCCUCAAUAUACUCUAACUACUGCUUAUUAAUACUAAAGUAGUUGUUUAUUUUAAGUAUUUGUAUAAAUGGGGAGGGUUAAGGGUGUAGAAUAAGGUUUUGCAGAAUCAGGCAUUAAUAUGUGCUAUUUAAGUAGGCCUACUAAAAAACAGUCAACAUCUCAGUAAUAUUAAUGCUAAUAAUCAACCAGUUAAUAGUG